GCACCACCGUGUGCCUUCCGUUUUUGCUGCCCACCCUGAGGAAGCAGAGACAGGAGACGGGUGACCGCCGCGAUCUGGCUGUUGUGUCACUCUGUGGUGAGUGUGUCCGCGAUCCGAAAAAACGUAACACGGAUGUCGCGACCUGCUCAAUUGGAAAGUGGGAAAACGUUUCUGGAGGCAUACUUCUUCGCUUCCCAGGAACUGGAGAGUUUUGCCGCGCUCGCAAAGAACUCUCAAAUUCCCCAGAAACAGUUCCUCCGCGGCCCCCGCCGUUUUCUCUGGUUGGACUGAUGGCUCGGGUCUUCACGCCGCUGGAACAGUGAGGGACAAUACCUCGAGGAGCGCUGGGUGUGCGGGUGCAAAUUUUAUGCUGUCUGUUUUUGUCCAGCCGCUUUCACAUAAAUUGGUGACAGUCAAAUGCCUUUUCAACAUAGUGAGAGCCUGCGUGUUUCUCGCGUUCCCCGUCGGCGCCAUAAGCCGCGGCGAGCGCACGCGACACUCGAGCUGGGACGCGAAAACACUCUGAGAUCCUUCUGGGAUGCCGCUGUUCUGCCUCUCCGUAGGAGAGCAAAUGCGUGCAAGAAGUGCAGUACGUGACUGCCCCUGUGAAGACUACUUCGCGAACUGUGCGUUCGAGAUUCCGUAUGCCCCACUCUCCAUGCCGUUGAAGGGAAGUGACCCGUCAACCUCGUUGUUGUUCAACCAAAAAGUCACGGCCACCGGGUCUUUCUGCCGUACUUAGAUUCGUCUUGUCCUAUCGGAAUUAAUACAGUGAAUAGAGGUCUUUGGCGCUUUUUGCUUGGUGCAUGCUUUCUGGUAACCC
rnacentral:lncRNA from 1 species